CCUCAUUGUACUUAGAGAUUUCAUAUCACCUAUAUGGAUUCUCUCUAAGCACUGGAGAAAUCCUCUCGUUUUCGUUUUUAGUUUCCUGCUUAAAGGAUUUGCUGGCCUUCUUUGGCUCUCCCCUGCCCCUCCCAAGCAAAAGGGGCUCUCCCCACCAUCAAGUGGUGGGGCGUAUAUACUUUUUGGUCUUCUUUUGUUGGUGGUGCUUGCAGAUUGAGCAGCUCAUUGAGGAGUUUUGCGCUAAAAGGUGAGGAUGGAAGCUGCUCUCUUGUG
rnacentral:misc_RNA from 1 species